rnacentral:lncRNA from 1 species
AGUGAAUCAAUGAACCAGAGAGACAAGAGAACGAGGUUCAGGGUGGGGUGAGGAGGCUGAGAAAAAGGUGGUGAGUGAUUCUGGCAGAGGAGGGGACCAGCUUGGCGCCCUGCUGGGAAGCCCUGGGGAUGGGAGGGGAAGGUGGAUGGCGCCAGAUGGUUGGGGUCUGGAAGGCCCCGCAGAGGGGCCUGAAUCUGAGCUGGCUCCACUCUUGAGAGACCUGGCCGCACUGAGGUGCCCUGGGGACAGACCACCUGCAUCCUUCUUCGUGGAUAAAUUGGGUCCCUGGGGCUGCUAUGUGGAGAGCGGACUGGAGGGGGCCAGGUGGCAGCAGGGAGGCUGAGGGGGGCGUCUGCAGUGAUGACCCAGGUGGGACUGUGGCACCUGGAAGGAAGGUGACAGCAGUGGAGACAGUGACAGGUUCUGGAUUCAGGGGAUGAGACAAAUACUGCAGGCGUGCCCCCCAGCCCCCACUGUCCACGGCAGACAUCACUAAACGAUCGGGCGCUCUUCCCAACGAACCUGGAUACGGCUCAGGAUCACAGCUCUCUAGGACUAAGAGUGAUUGCAAAGAGGUGAACAGAGAGGUUAAA